rnacentral:rRNA from 1 species
UUUGGGGGUUUGGCGCAGCCUGAUGCAGCACGCCGCGUGGGCGAUGAAGGCCUUCGGGUUGUAAAGCCCUUUUCUGAGGGAAGAGAGAGGACGGUACCUCAGGAAUAAGGUUCGGCUAACUACGUGCCAGCAGCCGCGGUAAUACGUAGGAACCGAGCGUUAUCCGGAUUCACUGGGCGUAAAGCGCGUGUAGGCGGUUCGACAAGUCGGACGUGAAAGCUCCUGGCUUAACUGGGAGAGGCCGUACGAAACUGUCGGGCUUGAGGUCGGGAGAGGGACGUAGAAUUCCCGGUGUAGUGGUGGAAUGCGUAGAUAUCGGGAGGAAUACCAGUGGCGAAGGCGACGUCCUGGCCCGCACCUGACGCUCAGACGCGAAAGCGUGGGGAGCAAACAGGCUUAGAUACCCUGGUAGUCCACGCUGUAAACGGUGGAUACUAGGUGUUGGUGGUUUAACGCCAUCAGUGCCGAAGCAAACGCGUUAAGUAUCCCGCCUGGGGACUACGGCCGCAAGGCUAAAACUCAAAUGAAUUGACGGA